UGCCCCAUGGCUGAGUUGGUUACAGCGUCCGACUGUUAUUCACCUUGAAAAGCGGUAUCGGAAGGUCGUGAGUUCGAGCCUCACUGGGGCAG